rnacentral:rRNA from 1 species
AGCUUGCUCCACCGAAAGAAAAAGAGUGGCGAACGGGUGAGUAACACGUGGGUAACCUGCCCAUCAGAAGGGGAUAACACUUGGAAACAGGUGCUAAUACCGUAUAACACUAUUUUCCGCAUGGAAGAAAGUUGAAAGGCGCUUUUGCGUCACUGAUGGAUGGACCCGCGGUGCAUUAGCUAGUUGGUGAGGUAACGGCUCACCAAGGCAACGAUGCAUAGCCGACCUGAGAGGGUGAUCGGCCACACUGGGACUGAGACACGGCCCAGACUCCUACGGGAGGCAGCAGUAGGGAAUCUUCGGCAAUGGACGAAAGUCUGACCGAGCAACGCCGCGUGAGUGAAGAAGGUUUUCGGAUCGUAAAACUCUGUUGUUAGAGAAGAACAAGGAUGAGAGUAAAAUGUUCAUCCCUUGACGGUAUCUAACCAGAAAGCCACGGCUAACUACGUGCCAGCAGCCGCGGUAAUACGUAGGUGGCAAGCGUUGUCCGGAUUUAUUGGGCGUAAAGCGAGCGCAGGCGGUUUCUUAAGUCUGAUGUGAAAGCCCCCGGCUCAACCGGGGAGGGUCAUUGGAAACUGGGAGACUUGAGUGCAGAAGAGGAGAGUGGAAUUCCAUGUGUAGCGGUGAAAUGCGUAGAUAUAUGGAGGAACACCAGUGGCGAAGGCGGCUCUCUGGUCUGUAACUGACGCUGAGGCUCGAAAGCGUGGGGAGCGAACAGGAUUAGAUACCCUGGUAGUCCACGCCGUAAACGAUGAGUGCUAAGUGUUGGGAGGGUUUCCGCCCUUCAGUGCUGCAGCAAACGCAUUAAGCACUCCGCCUGGGGGAGUACGACCGCAAGGGUUGAAACUCAAAAGGAAUUGACGGGGGGCCCGCACAAGCGGGGGGAGCAUGUGGGUUUAAUUCCAAAGCAACCCCAAAAAACCUUACCAAGGUCUUUGACAUCCCUUUGACCACUCUUAAAAAUAAAAGCUUCCCCCUUCGGGGGGCAAAAUUGACAGGG